rnacentral:lncRNA from 1 species
CGCGUUGCCAUGGCAACGGCAGAGCCCGCGGGGUUGCUCAGUCCUGCCGUUGGCAAAAAAUGCUUCAAAGCUCCUGGGUGAGCGUGGUUGUGAGCGGCAGCGAGGGCAGCAGCUCUGCUCAGUGUGAGAAAGGAUGCUUUCUGGGAACUGCCAGGCCCUGUCCAGGAUUCCAUUGUGAACCUGAUUAUAAUCUGCUCUAAGGCACCUUUACAGCACAAGCUGUUACAGGAAUAGCAUUGAAAAGCUUGGAGCUUUUGUGCAUUGCAUACAAAUUACRCCAGAACCGUGAGCUGCAGUGGCAAUCCUGGCUCCUUUUCGCUAUGAGCUGGAUAAGCUGAGAUGAGAUGAGAUUUGACAAAAGGCAAGAUGACCACAACUGCGUUAYAGGUUGUGUACCAUCAACUCCCUACAAGAAAAUCUGUUGUGAAAAGAGUGAGGGGGAAGACGAGUAACGGGAUUGAACCACACAAAGUCCAGCAGCAUAGUCUUAUCUGUUCCCUCAAUGUGGGCUAGUAAAUGGAUAGCGCUGUGUGUUGUUUGGUAGAUCUUUGGUGGUCAAGAGAGCUGUCUGUUUCAGGAUCUGCUGAUGGCUUGCGUUGCUAGCUUAUUCCACCUCUGCAACUGCCUCUGUUAUGCCUUUAACAAAAUGAAAUAGGAUAGCAACAUUACUAAAUGCCUUUAGAGAAUGCUUUGAGGUCCUCAGGAGAAAAGAGUUUUACAUCUGUGAACCAGUAGG